rnacentral:rRNA from 1 species
UACGUAGGGGGCAAGCGUUGUCCGGAAUCAUUGGGCGUAAAGCGCGUGUAGGCGGCUGGGUAAGUCCGCUCUGAAAGCCCGGGGCUCAACCCCGGGAGGCGGGUGGAUACUGCUCAGCUCGAGUCCGGAAGAGGAGUGUGGAAUUCCUGGUGUAGCGGUGAAAUGCGCAGAUAUCAGGAGGAACACCAAUGGCGAAGGCAGCACUCUGGGACGGUACUGACGCUGAGGUGCGAAAGCGUGGGGAGCAAACAGG